rnacentral:rRNA from 1 species
GACGAACGCUGGCGGCGUGCUUAACACAUGCAAGUCGAACGGAAAGGCCCUGCUUUUGUGGGGUGCUCGAGUGGCGAACGGGUGAGUAACACGUGAGUAACCUGCCCUUGACUUUGGGAUAACUUCAGGAAACUGGGGCUAAUACCGGAUAGCAGCUCCUGCUGCAUGGUGGGGGUUGGAAAGUCUCGGCGGUUGGGGAUGGACUCGCGGCUUAUCAGCUUGUUGGUGGGGUAGUGGCUUACCAAGGCUUUGACGGGUAGCCGGCCUGAGAGGGUGACCGGCCACAUUGGGACUGAGAUACGGCCCAGACUCCUACGGGAGGCAGCAGUGGGGAGUAUUGCACAAUGGGCGGAAGCCUGAUGCAGCAACGCCGCGUGCGGGAUGACGGCCUUCGGGUUGUAAACCGCUUUCGCCUGUGACGAAGCGUGAGUGACGGUAAUGGGUAAAGAAGCACCGGCUAACUACGUG